AGACAGAUUUAGAUCGAGGAUGUGGACGUCAAAGACGAUGUGAAAAUGGCGUGUUGUGCCCAUGUAUUGAUAUGCCACUCCAUUUUCAUGUCAUCUUUGACGUCCGCGUCCUCAAUCUAAAUCUGUCU
rnacentral:miRNA from 1 species